CAUCUAUCAGGGCAGUCGGUGUCAAAGUUGACAGAAAUAUCCUUCAUGCCUGACGUUGAAACGAAGACAAGUUUACUACAUCCUCCCAGGAACAGCAAACAUUGCAGACAUUCCAUUUGAACAUUGACUCAACCUGACACUGCUCUGCAUAGCCUUCUGCACCUUCUGACUCUGGCUUUAUCAGAAAUGGGGAACACAGUGCUCAUGAGGCAGUCCAUCGCAGUCAAGUGGCGUUGUAAGGAAGACAAAACUUGCUACUAGCUGCCAGAUGCAUCAUUCUCUCAUCUGUUGGGGAGAGAUUUCAGAGAGGAGUCUGGUACAAUUCAAUCUUUACUUGGAGCUCCUUUACAAUGCAGCAUGGGAGAAGUCUCUGGAGGCAGCUUCCAAAACCUUUCGACUCUUGCAAUCAGGUCUUACGUUACCACACAUCAUUCCUCGCCUGAGGGACUGGGAUGUUGAUCUAUUCCUGGGCUUCUUCCAUUGCUUCUGUAACCAACUGCUACACA